AGCAGUAUUGAACUGAAGAGUUUGAUCAUGGCUCAGAUUGAACGCUGGCGGCAGGCCUAACACAUGCAAGUCGAGCGGAUGAAGGGAGCUUGCUCCUGGAUUCAGCGGCGGACGGGUGAGUAAUGCCUAGGAAUCUGCCUGGUAGUGGGGGAUAACGUCCGGAAACGGGCGCUAAUACCGCAUA
rnacentral:rRNA from 1 species